GUGAGAAAGGCAGGUUUUUGUUCUACAGUGACAUAAAAAUAAAACAAGUCUCAACUGACUGGUAUUUGAUUGUUAGCUGGGUAGUUCAGAGAGUUUCAAUAUUCACUUCAUGAUUCAGCGAUACUGAAGAACUAUUGUGGUAAAUGCUUGCAAGAGCAUUGAUGGAGGAUUAUAAGUGGAAGUGAAAGUGCUUUGCCUCAGUCUUCACUGGUGGACAGGCUUCCCAUGUCUGCCAGGACCCUGAACCUCUAUGUGAGGAUGAGAGGACUGGAUUCUGUCCCACUGUAACAGUGGAAUAAGUCCGAAACCUCUUUGUGAAAUUGAACGUAUUUAAGUCCAUGGGGCCAGAUGAUAUGCAUCCCAACAUUCUGAGAGAGAUGGCUGAUGUGCUUGCUGAGCAGCUCUCCAUCAUAUUUGAAAAAUCAUGGCUGUCAGAUGAAAUCCCCAGAGUCUGGAAAAAGGGAAACAUUACUCCAAUUUUUAAGAAAGGGAGAAAGGAAGAGCCAGGGAAAUACAGGCCGGUGAGCUUCACCUCUGUGCCUGGGAAGAUCAUGGAGCAGAUCCUCCUAGAAGCUAUGUUAAGGCACAUACAAGACAGAGAGGUGAUCCAAGACAGCCAUCAUGGCUUCACUAAGGGCAGACCAUGCUUGAUCAGUCUGGUGGCCUUCUAUGAUGGAAUGACAGCAUCGGUGGAUGGGAAAAGGGCGACAGAUGCCAUCUACCUGGACUUCUGCAAGGCAUUUGACAUGUGGUCCCUCACCACAUCCUUCUCUCUAAACUGGAGAAGUGUGGAUUUGAAAGAUGGACAGUUCAGUGGAUUUAGAACUGGUUGGCUGGUCGCAGUCAAAGAGUUGUGAUCAAUGGUUCUGUGUCAGGGUGGAAGGCAGUCACAAGCAAUGUUCCCCAUGUCAUGGUUUUAUGAUUUUUGGUUAUCAGUAUUCCACAUUAUAACAUCAUGUAGUGUACUGGGACUUAAAGAGCAAAUGCUCUAGUUCCAGGUACUUG
ensembl:lncRNA